GACGUAGGGGGCGAGCGUUGUCCGGAUUUAUUGGGCGUAAAGAGCGCGUAGGCGGUCCGGAAAGUCGGAUGUGAAAACCCGGGGCUCAACCCCGGGCCUGCAUCCGAUACUCCCGGACUGGAGGCAGGUAGGGGAGAUCGGAAUUCCUGGUGUAGCGGUGAAAUGCGCAGAUAUCGGGAGGAACACCGGUGGCGAAGGCGGCGACCUGGGUCGAUACUGACGCUGAGGUGCGAAAGCGUGGGGAGCAAACAGG
rnacentral:rRNA from 1 species